UACGGAGGGGGCUAGCGUUAUUCGGAAUUAUUGGGCGUAAAGGGCGUGUAGGCGGCUUCGUAAGUCUUGUGUGAAAGCCCUCGGCUCAACCGAGGAAUUGCACGAGAAACUGCGUGGCUCGAGUCCGGGAGAGGAUAGUGGAAUUCCCAGUGUAGCGGUGAAAUGCGUAGAUAUCGGGAGGAACACCAGUGGCGAAGGCGGCUUCCUGGCCUGUUCUUGACGCUGAGGCGCGAAAGCUAGGGGAGCAAACGGG
rnacentral:rRNA from 1 species